GACCGCGCGAAUGUCCCCAAAUAGUAAGUAUUGGAUAACAAUUUCUCCGUUCUCAGCCUUUCUGUUUAUUUAUUUAUUUGAGUCACACACGGUAAACAUUUCAGGAGUUACAUUGAAUUGAUUGAAUUCCAUAGAAUGUCCAAAACGGGCUGGAACGGUAAAUGGAAUUUCCAUUUCUAUGUUAGCUUCUAGUUUUCAGUCUUGGUGAUUUCCUAGGGACAAUUAUUUUAUCAUUUAUCUUUUGGCCUUCCUGUUUUGAAAAAUCCCCCGUUUAUCGAAACUACUUAUUUCUAUUGUAUCACAUCAUUGAGUAUUAUUUGACGUCUUAUUUUACUUUAUGAUCCACGUUCGAAGUGCUGCGCUGAUUAGUAAGUACUUCGGCUAUCUUUGUGUCCGUUAGGUUGGGCCUUGUAUCUAAUAACCCGUUGCCGCUGAGCAGGACAAUGGUGCAGCUACAGGUUGUGAUGUUUGGAGUGACUUUGGUUGUUGCUGUUGGAGUAGCUCUCUAUGCUCAUUUCUCAAAUUCAAGAUACGAGCAACCAACAAACUCCUAUUCGUAUGACGACAGUUAUCCCGAUUAUCCUUCAAGGCCUGCUUCAGCGACUCAAGACUCCAAUCCACGACGACGCAAAAGGAAACUGUCCAGUUGCACCAUCUGCCUGACGGAGCUCAGCUCAGAACUUGCUCUGAGAAAAUUACGUUGUGGGCAUUGUUUUCAUCGCAAGUGCAUUGAGCACUGGUUGGGUUCUUUGGGCGGAAGUUGCCCCAACUGCCGAGCGCCAGUGUCCUGAAUAUUCUACAGCCUCCAGGUGAUCGUUUACAUCAAUUUUUGGACAGUUUUUGCUUAGAACUUAUGCUAGUGUGAAAUUAAUUAAUAUUGGCGGUGAGUUGGAUUUUUGCGGCUUAAAGGCAAGGCAAAUUCAUUAUUGAAAUGUUACACACGAAUUUUCCUUCUUUACGCCACAAGACUUUUGCCCUUUAUUACUUGUAUACUUUUUAUUACUAUAAUAGUGGAGAUUCUGCUCCAACCUGCUGUGCCUCUAUGGAUAUGUACUAUAAGACUUGAAUAGGAUGUGAUAUGACUGUGACCAUAUCAGCAGCAAUAUAAACGAGCCUGGAGUGUGUGUUACGAAAAAGAGCAAGUGGUAGAGAAAAAAUAAAUUUAUUCAUAAAAAACAAAAAGCAAUACUUUCAAAUAUAACUUUAUAAUAAGAAAUAUCUUAACAUUUAAA
rnacentral:lncRNA from 1 species